rnacentral:rRNA from 1 species
ACGGGAGGCAGCAGUGGGGGAUAUUGCACAAUGGGGGGAACCCUGAUGCAGCGAUGCCGCGUGGAGGAAGAAGGUUUUCGGAUUGUAAACUCCUGUCCUGAAGGACGAUAAUGACGGUACUUCAGGAGGAAGCUCCGGCUAACUAUGUGCCAGCAGCCGCGGUAAUACAUAGGGAGCGAGCGUUAUCCGGAAUUACUGGGUGUAAAGGGAGCGCAGGCGGGACUGCAAGUCAGAUGUGAAAUAUACGGGCUCAACCUGUAGACUGCAUUUGAAACUGUGGUUCUUGAGUGAAGUAGAGGUAAGCGGAAUUCCUAGUGUAGCGGUGAAAUGCGUAGAUAUUAGGAGGAACAUCGGUGGCGAAGGCGGCUUACUGGGCUUUUACUGACGCUGAGGCUCGAAAGCGUGGGGAGCAAACAGGAUUAGAUACCCUGGUA